AGAGCGAACGCUGGCGGCAGGCCUAACACAUGCAAGUCGAGCGCCCCGCAAGGGGAGCGGCAGACGGGAGAGUAACACGUGGGAACGUACCCUUCAGUUCGGAACAACCCAGGGAAACUUGGGCUAAUACCGAAUACGUCCGUAAGGAGAAAGAUUUAUCGCUGAAGGAUCGGCCCGCGUCUGAUUAGCUAGUUGGUGAGGUAACGGCUCACCAAGGCUACGAUCAGUAGCUGGUCUGAGAGGAUGAUCAGCCUCACUGGGACUGAGACACGGCCCAGACUCCUACGGGAGGCAGCAGUGGGGAAUAUUGGACAAUGGGCGCAAGCCUGAUCCAGCCAUGCCGCGUGGAUGAUGAAGGCCUUAGGGUUGUAAAGUCCUUUCGGACGGGAAGAUAAUGACGGUACCCGUAGAAGAAGCCCGGCUAACUUCGUGUCAGCAGCCGC
rnacentral:rRNA from 1 species